rnacentral:rRNA from 1 species
UACGGAGGAUGCAAGCGUUAUCCGGAAUGAUUGGGCGUAAAGCGUCCGCAGGUGGCUAUGUAAGUCUGCUGUUAAAGCGUCUAGCUCAACUAGAUAAAAGCAGUGGAAACUACAAGGCUAGAGUGUGGUCGGGGCAGAGGGAAUUCCUGGUGUAGCGGUGAAAUGCGUAGAGAUCAGGAAGAACACCGGUGGCGAAGGCGCUCUACUGGGCCAAGACUGACACUCAGGGACGAAAGCUAGGGGAGCGAAUGGG